GCGCGCGGUAGUGGGGGCAUAAGAGGCGGCGCGUUCGGGAAUCGGCUCGAAAAGGGCAACUAGGCUCAAGCACUGUUGUAGACUACGUUUUAGGUAGUAUUUAAAUUAGGAGUGAAAAAGUAGAAUGCGGAAAAGCGGAUAGAGCGUAGAAGCAAAAACUAGAGAGAGAUAGAUGAUAUUCUUUUUUUUUGUAGCUUUUCCUUCUGCUUUUCUUUAUUUUGUUCUUCUGCUUUUAAUAUGAAUGCUUCCUUACAUGUAAAGAUUUUUUUUAUUAAAAUCUUUUUUCAUUAUAAUUAUUUUUUUUUUAAUAGUUGUUGGACCACGACGAAAUAUUAGAUAUUGUCCCAGAAUAGCCAGGAAGUGAGCAUGAUAGCCGAAUAUUACAAAACUCACGCAUAUAUAUGCGGCACAGAGAAAAUAAAUUAAAUGGAAUGCUCAUUGGUGAUGCUGGGUGAACGAGUUACAACAUAAUUCAUACGAGGACAAGAGGAAUUGUCGAGAGAACUUUCGGCGUUUGGAAACGCAGAUUUCCGUGCUUAUCGAGAGGCCUGAGUACAAAGUUGUUAACUUCCACAACAAUUGUUGUAGCAUGUGCUGUUUUGCAUAAUCUAACAUUGAUUUUUAAUGAUAAUUUGGAAGAAGAUGAAGAAGAAGAAAAUAUAAAUGACGAAGUUCCAGUGCCUUAGCCUCACUGGCAACCUGGAGAUGGUUUUGUCAUACGAAAUGCAUUAAUUGAACGACUUUUUAGAUAGAAAAUAUGAAAAAAAA